GACGAACGCUGGCGGCGUGCCUAAUACAUGCAAGUCGAACGCUUCUUUCCUCCCGAGUGCUUGCACUCAAUUGGAAAGAGGAGUGGCGGACGGGUGAGUAACACGUGGGUAACCUACCCAUCAGAGGGGGAUAACACUUGGAAACAGGUGCUAAUACCGCAUAACAGUUUAUGCCGCAUGGCAUAAGAGUGAAAGGCGCUUUCGGGUGUCGCUGAUGGAUGGACCCGCGGUGCAUUAGCUAGUUGGUGAGGUAACGGCUCACCAAGGCCACGAUGCAUAGCCGACCUGAGAGGGUGAUCGGCCACACUGGGACUGAGACACGGCCCAGACUCCUAAGGGAGGCAGCAGUAGGGAAUCUUCGGCAAUGGACGAAAGUCUGACCGAGCAACGCCGCGUGAGUGAAGAAGGUGUUCGGAUCGUAAAACUCUGUUGUUAGAGAAGAACAAGGACGUUAGUAACUGAACGUCCCCUGACGGUAUCUAACCAGAAAGCCACGGCUAACUACGUG
rnacentral:rRNA from 1 species